rnacentral:rRNA from 1 species
AGCGAACGCUGGCGGCAGGCCUAACACAUGCCAGUCGAGCGGGCAUCUUCGGAUGUCAGCGGCAGACGGGUGAGUAACACGUGGGAACGUACCCUUCGGUUCGGAACAACUCUGGGAAACUGGAGCUAAUACCGGAUACGCCCUUAUGGGGAAAGGUUUACUGCCGAAGGAUCGGCCCGCGUCUGAUUAGCUUGUUGGUGGGGUAACGGCCUACCAAGGCGACGAUCAGUAGCUGGUCUGAGAGGAUGAUCAGCCACACUGGGACUGAGACACGGCCCAGACUCCUACGGGAGGCAGCAGUGGGGAAUAUUGGACAAUGGGCGCAAGCCUGAUCCAGCCAUGCCGCGUGAGUGAUGAAGGCCUUAGGGUUGUAAAGCUCUUUUGUCCGGGACGAUAAUGACGGUACCGGAAGAAUAAGCCCCGGCUAACUUCGUG